rnacentral:sRNA from 1 species
GCCUGUUGCCUGGGGUUAGGGAAUCCAGAUGUCUGGGGCCACAAAAGCCAGAUGGAUUUUCCCAUGCCAUGGAUUCCCCGUGCUCGGACUCUGUAGAUCAACAGUGAUGCUGUCAGGGGUGUGGGUGGCUGGCAAGGAAUGUCAGUUUGCUCUUUCGAAAACCAGGCAGAACACUUGAAGUUAGGAUUGUGUCAGAAAAAUUUUAAGUAUAUAUUUUUGGUGGUUCGGCUUUAUCCCCUUGAAGAUUCAAAUCUCCGAAGAGCUAGCCUCUUGACCUCUCUCAGGAAUAUUCAGGAAGUGGGAAAAGGUCACCCUGGAGAAGAUUUUUGCUCAGGGACAGAUGGAGCCUCACUCAUUGGGAUGAGCCAGGACCCUGGUCAGUGGGCACCGUUACAAGUGCCACAGAGUCUUAGAACUGUCCAAGCAGAACAAAGCUAAAAGGGACCCUGCAGUUUGGUCAUUCUGGACUCCACAGGAAGACCAACAGAGACAACUAACCUAGACCCUUUGGGGUCUCCCAGAGACUGACUACCAACCAAAGAAUGAGCAUGGACUGGACCUACUUCUCACCGUUGGCCAUAUAUAGCAGAUGUGCAGCAUGGCCUUCAACAACUGGAGUGGGGACUG